CCCAAGAACUGGAGUGCUGAUGCAUUUUUUGUUUUAAACAGGUGUGUGUAGGAAAGCCAGAGCCCAAGAACUGGAGUGCUGAUGCAUUUUUUGUUUUAAACAGAAUAAAUCUGCCCUACUGCUGCAAUA